rnacentral:rRNA from 1 species
GGAACUUCCCCCAAAGUCGUGAAUAAUUCGUCGAAAGACGGACUAAUACACGAUGGCCCCCUCCCCACUUUUGCAUUUUUGCAAAGAAUUUUAAGACUAAAAAAUUUGAAGAAAUUUUUUAUCUCAAAAAUUCAAAAGCAAAAAUAUAAAAGUGGGGAGGGGUAAAGAAUUUCGCUUUGGGAAAGGCCUGUGCGAUAUCAGCUAGUUGGCAGUGUAAUGGACUACCAAGGCUAUGACGUCUAGGGGAGGUGAGAGCCUGACCCCCACCGAUGGUACUGAGACACGGACCAUACACCUACGGGUGGCUGCAGUCGAGAAUCUUCCGCAAUGGGCAAAAGCCUGACGGAGCGACGCCGCGUGAUUGAUGAAGUCCCUUUGGGACGUAAAGAUCUUUUAUGAGGGAAGAAGUUUAUUGACUGUACCUCAUGAAUAAGAGGCUCCUAAUCUCGUGCCAGCAGGAGCGGUAAUACGAGAGCCUCGAGCGUUAUCCGGAAUUAUUGGGCGUAAAGGGUGUGUAGGUUGUUCUGUUAGUCUUUUGUUAAAUUCUCUGGCUUAACCAGGGCGUCGCGAAGGAUACGGCAGAACUGGAAAAUGUGAGAGGCGUACGGAACUCAUGGUGUAGGGGUGAAAUCCGUUGAUAUCAUGGGGAACACCGAAAGCGAAAGCAGUACGCUAGCGUAUAUUUGACACUGAAACACGAAAGCGUGGGUAGCGAAUGGGAUUAGAUACCCCAGUAGUCCACGCCCUAAACGAUGAUCUCUCGCUAUUCGGAGUAUCGACCCUCUGAGUGGCUUAGCUAACGCGUUAAGAGAUCCGCCUGGGAAGUACGGCCGCAAGGCUAAAACUCAAAGGAAUAGACGGGGACUUGCACAAGCAGUGGAUUAUGUGGUUUAAUUCGAUGGUAAACGAAGAACCUUACCAGGGUUAGAAAUCCUAGUGAAAGCUCGCAGAAACGCGAGGCCUCGCAAGACUCUAGGACAGGUGAUGCAUGGCCGUCGUCAGUUCGUGGUUUGAAUUGUUCCCUUAAGUGGGGUAACGAACGCAACCCUCGUUGUGUGUUACAAGUGUCACACGAGACCGCCCAGCCCUAGUUUUUUGAGACAAUAUGUCACUAGUCGGUAUAUUACUGUUAAGUGGUGUAUUGAAAAUAAAAUUUUGUCUUUCAGACAAAUAUUUUUAAGAAUUUUUCUGGAAAAACUAGGGCUGGGAGGAAGGAGAGGAUGACGCCAGGUCAGCAUGUCCCUUGAUACCCUGGGCUACACACAUAAUACAAUGACCGUUACAACGCGCAGCGACGAGGCGACUCUGAGCUAAUCGUUCAAAAGCGGCCUCAGUUCGGAUUGAAGUCUGCAACUCGACUUCAUGAAGCUGGAAUUGCUAGUAAUCACAGGUCAGCUAAACUGUGGUGAAUACGUUCUCAAGUCUUGUACUCACCGCCCGUCAAGUCAAGGAAGCUGGGAGUACCCGAAGUCUUCCCUCCCCAGUUUUGAACCUCUAGUAAUGGUACUAGAAAGAUCAAAUUUUAAUUGGGACUUAU